CAAAAAUGACUUCCUGCGGCUGCUGGCCCCAGUGAUGAUAUCUGAAACAGUCCUCUAAGGACCCAGCUUUCAUGGCACUGUUCUGUGAUGACCUUCUCAAACAUCUCAAUUUUUUUCUAAGACAGAGAAUGAAUGAACGAACGAAUAAGUAAGUAGGAAUCUGCUCGUUCUCUGCUCAUGCACAGUAUGGCAGCCACAGAGGUUGUGGACCCACUCAGCACCCCAUUCCAGAGAACCUGCUGUAUGGAGCUUAGCUGACUGAUGCCCCAGCUGCCACACCUUCAGAUUCACUGUGACAUUUCAUCUGGAUGGCUUCCAGCCAGUGACUGGACACAGCAGCAGCGCUAGAGCUGGACUGGGCCAUUCCGGCCUCAUGACCCUCACUGGACCAUGAACUCUAAGAAGGAAGAUUCUCAUCUGCUUGUUUCUGAAUCCCCAGUGCUGAUGACAAGCAAUAUGUGCUUAUUAUGUGUUUAUUAAUCAGGAGAUGGAAAAUCAAGGGAAGAGAGAAGGCGGGUAGAGCAGAUAGUCGAAUCGGUCAUGUAUGGAUGUGAGAGUUGGACUGUGAAAAAGCUGAGCACCGAAAAAUUGAUGCUUUUGAACUGUGGUGUUGGAGAAGACUCUUGAGAGUCCCUUGGAC
ensembl:lncRNA